UACAGAGGGUGCAAGCGUUGUUCGGAAUUACUGGGCGUAAGGCGCGUGUAGGCGGCGUCGUUAGUCGGAUGUGAAAGCCCUCGGCUCAACCCGAGGAAGUGCAUCCGAUACUGCGAUGCUUGAGUGUUGGAGGGGGUGGCGGAAUUCCCGGUGUGAGAGGUGAAAAUGCGCAGAUAUCAGGAGGAAUACCAGCGGCGAAGGCGGCGCUCUGGGGCCGGUACUGACGGCUGAGGAGCGAAAGCGUGGGGAGCAAACAGG
rnacentral:rRNA from 1 species